GCCCGAGUGGCGGAAUUGGCAGACGCAGCAGACUCAAAAUCUGCCGCUGGCAACAGCGUGCGAGUUCGACCCUCGCCUCGGGCACCA
rnacentral:tRNA from 1 species